AUGCCUCCAAGAAAUGACAAGGACGGCGGUGAGGACAUCACCGUCGACCUCUAUCCAUUCAUUCGCGAGUAUAAGGGCGGCCGUGUCGAGCGCUUUCUGCGCAGCCCAUUCGUGGCAGCGACUGAGGACCCGGCAGCCAACCGUGGAGUGGCAACGAGGGACGUCAUCAUCGACAACUGCACCGGCGUGUCAGCACGCCUCUUUCUGCCUCCAGAUGCUGCAGCCGCCGGCGAGAGGCUUCCAGUCAUCAUGUACGUGCACGGUGGAUCGUUCUGCACAGAGAGCGCAUUUGGCCGCACAUACAAUAACUAUGUCAGGUCCCUCGCCGCACUGACUGGGGCUCUCAUCGUGUCUGUGGAGUACCGUAUUGCACCGGAGCAUCCCGUGCCUGCGGCCUAUGACGAUGCAUGGGCCGCGCUCCAGUGGGUGGCGUCCCUCUCAGACCCCUGGCUGUCUAGCUACGCCGACCCGGAGCGCACCUUCCUAGAGGGCGACAACGCCGGCGGCAACAUCGUCUACAACACGGCGGUGCGUGCGGCUGGCGGCGGUACAAACAUCGUCAACAUCGAGGGGCUUGUCAUCGUUCACCCCUACUUCUGGGGGGUGGACCGGCUGUCUAGCUCCGAGGCCGUUUGGGACGGCGUCGCCAUGUUUACACCAGACUUUGUGGACAGGCUCUGGCCGUACGUCACGGCUGGCCAGCUUGACAACGACGAUCCAUGGAUAAACCCUCUGGACGGGGACAUUGCCUCGCUGAUGUGCCGGCGUGUGCUGGUCGCCGUCGCUGAGAAGGAUAGCUUGUCUGGCCGUGGGCGCCGGUUGGCGGCUUCCAUGCGCAACCUCAUGUGGGCCGACGAUCAACACGCGGUGACAUUGGUGGAGUCAGAGGCCGAAGACCAUGGCUUCCACCUCUACAACCCCAUGCGUGCGACCAGUAAGACACUCAUGGAGAGUAUCAUACAGUUCAUAAACCAGCGGCCGGCAUUGCCGUUGCCGGCCGCUUUUCCGCCGGAACGGCACGAGCUGCAUCUGCAGGCAUGCCAAGGUAAGGACCAGACUUCCUCCUCUGCCGUCCAGCCCAUUCUGGGUGUGCCUACCAGGCCCUAUGUGGACGUAUUUGGUUAUGGGGUGGCCAUGAAGGAUUCCAGUGGCCCAACAAAUACCACACGUACUAGUUGCUUGCAGAUUGGUGGACAUGAACGAAGAUCAUCACCCAGGACUAGAAGAUAUGGGUUAUCUCUCGGCCACCCUAUAACAUCCAACAUGAGGUUCCUGUUAUCAGCAACGACAGCACCUCGGGGUGGUUUUGUUCGUUUUCACAAGUUCAUCAUCUAA
rnacentral:rRNA from 1 species